GACGAACGCUGGCGGUGUGCUUAACACAUGCAAGUCGAACGGAAAGGCCCUGCUUUUGUGGUGUGCUCGAGUGGCGAACGGGUGAGUAACACGUGAGUAACCUGCCCUUGACUUUGGGAUAACUUCAGGAAAGUGGGGCUACUACCGGAUAGGAGCCCCUGCUGCAGGGUGGGGGUUGGAACGUUUGGGCGGUUGGGGAUGGACUCGCGGCUUACCAGCUUGUUGGUGGGGUAGUGGCAUACCCAGGCAUUGACGGGUAGCCGGCCUGAGAGGGUGACCGGCCACAUGAGGACUGAGGUACGCCCCAGACUCCAACAUGGGACAGUAGUGGGGAAUAUUGCACAAUGGGCGGAAGCCUGAUGCAGCAGCGCCGCGUUCGGGAUGACGGCCUUCGGGUUGUGAACCGCUUUCGCCUGUGACGAAGCGUGAGUGACGGUAAUGGGUAAAGAAGCACCGGCUAACUACGUG
rnacentral:rRNA from 1 species